GUGCUAAUAAUGAUCGGCUGACAGGGUACGACAAAUUCAUCUAUGAGACCUCACAGAGCAACAACAUAAAAUCAGAUUUGGAUAAAUACUUGGAAGAGCCGCUUUUCCCUAGAAAAGCCGAUUUUAGCAUAUUAAACUGGUGGAAGGUUCACACUCCAAGGUAUCCUAUUCUGUCCAUGAUGGCACGGAAUAUUCUUGGAAUGCCUAUGUCAAAAGCUUCAUUAGAGUUUGUAUUCAACACUGGGAAUAAAGCUCUUGAACAGUAUCGCAGUUCGCUAAGAUCAGAUACCUUGCAAGCUUUGAUGUGUGCCCAGGACUGGAUGCGUGAUGAGUUUGAAGAUUCAAGGGCUUCAUCGAGCACCGUUACUCUGGCCCUAUGCUAUGAUGCAAAAUAAUAGCAAGCUUUUGGUAUGCUUUUGUCAUUCCAGGUUGCCAUUCUUUUGCUUUCUGUGUAUAUUAGCAUCUUCUAAACAGUUUCUCUCCUUGUUAUGUUAAGAUUUUGUAGAAAUUAGUUCAUUUGAAGAUUUUGCUUUUCCAGAGCUUCCAUAAGUUGGUGAUAGAAAUCAUUUGCUCUCACUUUAUGCCAAACAUCAGAUGGGAUCUUUUGUUCAAGAAUCUAACAGUUUUUGCCGUGUUAGGCCCCAUCAGUUUACUUAUUUAUCUGUAUGUAGUUUUGUUUUUUCUUC